GAACGUGUGCAUCGUGUGUAAAAUUUUAAGUCAUACACAUAGUACAAAUAUGGUUUUCUAAAAGUGUGGUUUUAUUAUAUUAUAAUGGCAUGGCGAUGUUAUAUUAUUUCUCAUGGAAUUCGAAAUUGGAGUAUAACGUGGUAGUCCGAUGAUGAACAUGCCCCCAAAAACUUUCUAAAAUUUCUAGGCAUGCCAAUGCCAUUUAAUACCUUUUCUGAAAGGGAUUUGAGGGAUUGGUGACCAUACCAUUCAGAUACGACAACGGUGCACUUUCACAAGC
rnacentral:lncRNA from 1 species